rnacentral:misc_RNA from 1 species
UCUUCCCAGGCCCACCACUUUCAUCGAGUGAGCAUUCGUCUUCUGGUUACGGGGCCAUAGCUCAGCUGGGAGAGCGCGUGCUUUGCAAGCAUGAGGUCGUCGGUUCGAUCCCGUCUGGCUCCACCAGAUGGUUUGAUCACCGAGAUCUUGACCGUCGUCCGCGAAACAUCACUUCGCAUCCUGCUAGUCUGGAUAGACAGCAGUUUGCGUGUUUUCUGACAUCGUAAAGAGGAGAUCGAUCCGAGUUGGGUCGUGCAGCAUAUCGUUGCGCGAGCCUUCAUUAUCUCCGGAUCAUUUCGGCGCUCGCUUCCAGCCGUGAGGUUGGAUGCGGGUUGUAAAUGAUCCUUUUAGCGAAGCUUGACCGCCUCGCUAUCGGAACGAUCUUACGAAGCAAGCUGGUCUUUCUAGUCAAUGUCCGGCUGCGGAUAGCGUUCAUCGAGGGCGCGUGCCGCAAGGCAAUUCUGCAGACAACAUUCUGCCGAGUGUGUGGACAUUGAUAAUGAGAGCAAUCAAGUGCCUUAAGGGUGUUCGGUGGAUGCCUUGGCGCUGAGAGGCGAUGAAGGACGUGCUACGCUGCGAUAAGCCGUGGGGAGCUGCGAAGAAGCUUUGAUCCGCGGAUUUCCGAAUGG